UACGUAGGGUGCGAGCGUUAAUCGGAAUUACUGGGCGUAAAGCGUGCGCAGGCGGUUUUGUAAGCCAGAUGUGAAAUCCCCGGGCUUAACCUGGGAAUGGCAUUUGGGACUGCAAGGCUGGAGUUUGGCAGAGGAGACUGGAAUUCCACGUGUAGCAGUGAAAUGCGUAGAGAUGUGGAGGAACACCGAUGGCGAAGGCAGCCCCCUGGGUCAAGAUUGACGCUCGAUGCACGAAAGCGUGGGGAGCAAACAGGG
rnacentral:rRNA from 1 species